rnacentral:misc_RNA from 1 species
GAACAUUAGUCACCUUUUAUUACUCUAAAAAAGUGAAUUACUACUGUUCGUCCUUGGAAGUUGUUGAAAUAUAUUGAAAAAUGCACACGCAUAUUUACAUAGCAAGUAAAACAGAGAAUAAGCUGAACAUGAGGUUACAAUUACAACCAGCUACAAUAGCAAAACAGACGAGCACAAAAUUACUUCUUAGCAAGCAACUUCUUUGGAAGCAUUUCCAAAGGUGUGGUUUUGAGUAAGAAAAGCCUGGCUGCACGUUCUUGCAGGGUGCCUCCACACUUCAACCCACGCACUUGAAGUUCUGACUUUAACUUCUCCAUGCCGAGUACCUCCAGUUCCGCUGCUGAACUAAACUGCUCAAAAUUCAAAGGUUUUUCUAACUCUGAAUCCUUUGAGACUGCAUCUUCCUGAGGUUCUGAUAUAGGGCUUAGAUUAUUACUGGGUUUUGCAGCAUUGUUUUCUUUCACACCAGAGCUCCCCUCCACAACAAUUGGCUCAGAAGCACCAGAAGCUUCUUUUUCUGUUUGAAUACUUUCAAUCACAGAUGCAAUAUCAGUGCCAACACUAGAGGCAACAGCACUCUGCCCAGUAUUUUCUGGACUGUCUGGAGUGAGUGAGGACAGACUUUCACUUUCAUGGUGAACUGCAUUUACAUUGACAUCUUUACCAGGUUCAAGAUUCUUCAGAAGAAGAGUAUCCUUUUCUUCCUCGGAGCCACUCUCAGAUGCACCACCAUCAACUUUUCUGCCAGUUACAGAAUCCAAACUUCCCUCUGCUUCUCCAUUGGAGUCUGAAUUGCCCCCAUUAUCUAUGACGAUGGAUUUCUCUUUCUCUUCCUCUUCUUCAUCACAGUCAUCAUCAUCUAGAUCUUCGCUAUCACUAUCACCCAUUAUCCUCUUACCCUUCCAUAUCUUGAGCUUUUUGGACUCUGAUUCAUUGAGCUCAACCCCCUUCCUUUUAGAUGACACGAAUCCCUUGAGGGACUCCCUAACUGACCUAUCCACUUCCUCCAUACACUUAGCAGAAUCCUCCCUAUACUUCUGCACAUACUUAUCCGUGUUACUUCCAGUAGCACCCUUUUUACCUUUCUUCGCAGCUUCCUUUGCAUUCUUCUUAAGAAACUCAUCCGCCAUCUUCUCCAAUUUCCUCUCUUCUGCUUCUGCUCUCCACUCUUCCAGCUUCUUUUCCGCAUUCACAUGCCUCAACCUUCUACCACUCAUAUCCCUACACGCGUCAAAAUUAUUCGUCUUCUUCUGCCCUGCCUUGGUUGCCGCUCCUCUCAGCAAUGAACCAAAGCCUCCUUUACCACCCCUUAGCCGAAGCAACAAAUUCACCACAACCGGAAAAUUUCUCUUCUCCGGAGACAAAUUUGUGAGAUUUUCCGGCGACCCGAUAUUUCGGUUGUCGGGCAACCCGUUUGUGAGAUAUAGGGCUUGGUGGUCCUGAAGAGGGUAGAACGAAUUGAAAGGCAGUAAAAGCUGAAGGUGAGAAGGAAUUGAAGUUAGGCUCUGUAUUUUGUGCUUUAGGGUUAGGGUGGAGAUGGAUGGGGUAGUGAAAUUUAAGGCUUUGUGCUUUCCGUCGAGGAAUUUGACGAGAACUUGAUGAAUCACUAAUCCUUCAGUCAUCUCCAUUGUCGGUUGAUUGAUGCCGGUCGAUUGAUUUUGGUAGUGUCGCGCUUCUUCGCCGGCGAUUGAGAUUUGGGGGAAAGAGAAAUC